ensembl:lncRNA
UUACAUUUCUACUGCGGACACAUUCAGACUGAAGCUGUGACUGAAGAAGAUAAAGCAGCCCUAAGACUGAUGCAUCUAGGUCACUGCUCCUGCUAUCUGCCAGUGCUUUUCUAGCCCCAGAAGAGAACAACCUGCCCAGGAAAUCAAGCAGCAAUGCUUGGAAGGGACUCCUCUCCAGUGGAUGCAUACCAACAUGAUGGAAUUGUGAAAUGACAUGUAUAAUUACGAUAGGAAGAGAUGAACUUUCAUGACGCUUCCUUUACAGCAACAUCGUAUUGGUGGCUUAUGGACAUCCUAUGACCAAGAAAAACACACUGUUUUUCUCUCUGUCGUUCCAGAUCAAUAAGCCUCUGGGUUAAUUGCAGAAUUUCUUGCUGUUAAGUCCAGAACACCUGCUGUAAAACAAGAGGAUUUCCAGAGUAUCCUGAGGAAAACCUGCACAGGACCUUCAGGACUACAGAAAAUGUGACUCUUUGACUGUUCCCUGGUCAGAGAUGGCUUAGAGUGCCUUACCUCCUCCACCACCCAGCUCUGCCAGAAGAUUUGAAGCACCUUGCAAGCAUGACACCUUCCAGGAGAAGAGAGCCGGGAGCUUUGGCGGUCGAUACACUGGGAUCUUGAUUUGUGAAGUUCCUUGAUGCCACAGACAACUAACUUCGCUCAUAUAUGUGUAUAUUACUCCAUCUUGAGAAGAGUUCUAAAUUUGCAGCCAAGAUUUGGAAUAGUUGGAUGAAGCUAAUUUUUAUAACUAUGUGGAAGUUUUUCAGAGUUUUUAGGACGGUAAAGACUGUGGACUAUUUCUCCUGUGCAACGUAUUUUCCCUCAAAGUUCACCUAGACUGACAGACCAAAUUUAGUUCUGAAUUAUGGAAUCACAGAAUCAUAGGGGUUGGAAGGGACCUCUAGAGAUCAUCAACUAAACACUGUCUAAAUUCUGCUAGGCUUCAUAUGUUUCUUUUAAACUUUUCCACAGCAGAAACCGAACCUACCACAGUGUAUUUUUUGAGUUUGACCUAUAUAAUUCCUCUAACGACUUCUCCAGUGGUAAGUGUGGAGUGAAUGACCUUACAAAGCUAAGAGACUGUGCUUGUCGAGUAUGUUCUUCAUUUUAGAGCUGUGUCACGUUGCAGGUCACUGAAUCCUCAGAGACUCACUAGUCUCUGAGAAUGUGAGAAUGGAAAAUGGGGCCAUAUAUAGGAAGGUUAUCGCAAUGUCGCUACUACAGGAAAGCAAGAAUCUUCUAAACAAAGAGUGAACUAAACACUGUCAGACUCAGCAGAGACAUUUGUAAAGCUGAAAAUUCUACUUGCUGCAGAGUUUAUUUCUUUCUCAAAGCAGGUGCAAAUAGCUGUAGCACCAAAGGAAUCCCAGACUCUCUUCCACUCUGCUAUACAGCCCACACUUUCAUAGGAUGAUUUGAAAGGGAAUCUUGGUAUUUUCUGUCCAAAUUUGGACGUGGAGUAGCAAGCCUGGUCUGACUCUAACUGCAAGAUAAGCUAAAUGAUUUUUUUUUUUUGGAAGGUUGUUGGUUUAGCUCUGGGCUGGAGACUCUUCAUCCUUAUACAUAUGACUUUCAGAGGACACAGAAGCCCAGCCUCAGCUAGCAAGGUUUCCAGGGUUACCCAUUCCUCAGUUAACUUUCCUGGUUUGCACCAGAGAAAUCAGUAAUAAAAGACAUGGGUAAUAAAUACCAGUUCAGUCUCACAGACUCUCCGUUUUCCAGUGAAGACCACCAGAAAAUGUCAGUGUUACAGUCAACAGCCAAGGGCUCACCUGAUUAUGGGUGUGAGGACUUUUUGUGCUACUGUGGUUAACAUGGCAGAAAAUUCUAACAUAAAUGAGUCAGCUUGCCCAAGGCAAAGGCUUUUUUUUCCACCAAAAUUUUCCCACCAUGUGGCAGAUGCUAUCCUGUUCUUUGGACAGCCUUUAACUGAACAUCUCCCAGUGCUUCAUAGACACUAAGCCUGAAAUAUAUACUGCAGCUUUAAUUCUAUCAUGGCCGUUCAUAUUCCCAUACAGGACUCUUAGUCUGCUUUAAUUUGAGAGUUGAAAAGGGAGAUAGGCAAAGCUAGUACGAAUUUGAAAGACUUGACCAUUUCUCUGAAGUAGUUUGUUUAUAGUGCCAUCAACUGAACAGAAUGGCAUACUGUAGAAGUUGAAAGUAAUUUAUCUGAAGGCUGCUGGUAGAAAACCAUGAUAUGACAGUAAAAACCCUUAGGUAUCAUUCUUUCCUCCGCUUCAAAACAAUCCAGGAAUAAUUCUUAAACAUCUUACCAGCAUCCAAGGUAGUUUAGAGGAGUAUUGCAAGUGUGUAAAUUUCUCAGUAAAAUUUACUAUUUUAUAUAAAAUUCAUUCAAAUAUUUACUGCUUCUAAAUUACUAUCUACACUUUAUGUUUGGUCACUGAAAAAAGAUUACAUUGUAUUUACCUCUAAAUUCAUGGCUUCUGAAUGAGCUGAUGAGCUAAUGAGUCCAUUAAAAUGUGUAAUCAUACAAAUGCAUACUUGUGUGCAUUUAACGUGCUUUUGGUUUGGUUGGGGUUUGUGUGUGUUGUUUUUGUCUUUUCUUCUCGAAUGUGCCCUUAUGAACAAAACUUUAUUUAUAUGAAGGUUCCCCUCAUGUGGGUGAACACUGUUCAGGAAUGCUUUCAGACAUAGUUUGAUUUUUAUUUGAAUCAAGGUUCUAAAAACAGUUUUAUGCAAUAUUGUUAUUUCUACACCGAAGUAAGUUUCGAAGUGGAUUAACACGUGGUACCUGAGCUUUAAUACUCUUCCAUUCUCAAUUUGAAUUUAUCGGCCAUGGAGUUUCAAACUGGGGAAUAUCUUUAACCUUUUUAAUUAGUUCUUCAUUGUGGGGAACAGAACAAACUGGCAGACUACAGUCACAAUUAUCAAAAGCAAAUACAGACAGUAUUACACAUCCAGCUUCUGAUGAGAAAGGAUAAUGAGAAAUCUGAUUUGAUCCAUGACAAACCAUGGGUCAGCAAAUCAUGCCUGCUUCUUGUGUUCUAAACCAUGCCUUUUUUUCACUAAUUUUAACUUCAAUUUCUUUUUCAGAAGGGCAAACUCACGAACACUCACGCUUUCAUCAUCUGGGAAGCACUUGUAAUAGCCAUUCAAUAAUUUAAAAUUAAAAUAGCCCCCUGUUGUCUUUUCCAGCAGGAGGACUGGAGCCAGAAGCAGCCACAGUCUCUGUGUGCAGUAGAAGGUGUAGAGCUGUGUGCCUGAACCUGCACCGUGCCACCUGCAACCAGCCCUGGAAUAGAAGGAAAGCAGGAUAAGCUAUGCUGAACUACAACAGGGAGAUGCUGAGGCUGAGCUGUCAUGACCUAGGAGUGGAUGUGGGAGCUCAUGUUUCACAGAAUGGCUCAAGCACAAGCACUGCUUUGUUCCCAGUGCUCCGUGGGGCAUGGCAUAUUUGCGCCUCUGCAUCAGAGCAGCUAUAGCCACACAACCAGAUAAGUCAUAUAAGCUCUCUUUCCUGGAGAUGUCAGCCAAAAUGCCGCAUGAUCACCAACAAGCGCAAAAAUGAACAAACUUCAGGGAUCAAGUCUAAGCAAGAGAUUAGAGAAGACAUCCCCCCAGAAUGCUCCCAAACUUCCUACUCUGGUUCCUCCUGAAGAGCAGAAUUCUGCUUGGACAAACUACCUACAGACUGAAAUCCAAGUGUGUUGAUGCCCGGGCUGUCUUUUCCCCAGAAGCAGGAGCAAAAGAGAAGAAACUUUUCUUCACUUUGCAAAACGAUGUCUCUUUUGCACCACUGACUUUUUUCACUCCAUAAAUGAUCUCUGGAUCUGAAUCAUACCUUAAGUUGCUGGGCCAUUAUCAGACUGUUAUGGUUUUAUGAUUUUUGGUUAUUGGUAUUCCACAUCAUAACAUCUUGUAGUGCACUGGUAGUUAAAGAGUUAAUGCUCCAGUUCCAGGUACCUGUCUGGAAGAGAAGAAGAAAUACAUACCCCAGGAGGCUUUGCAUUCAGAGAAGAGAUAUAACCCCUGGCAAGGUCACCUGAUGUCCUUUUCUUCUUUUGGCUCUCCUCCCUGCUGCUUGACCCAACUGCACAUCUCACCUCAGUGUUACA